AAUCCAUAGGUUAAUGAGGCGAACCGGGGGAACUGAAACAUCUAAGUACCCCGAGGAAAAGAAAUCAACCGAGAUUCCCCCAGUAGCGGCGAGCGAACGGGGAGGAGCCCAGAGCCUGAAUCAGCAUGUGUGUUAGUGGAAGCGUCUGGAAAGGCGCGCGAUACAGGGUGACAGCCCCGUACACAAAAGCGCAUGUGCUGUGAGCUCGAUGAGUAGGGCGGGACACGUGGUAUCCUGUCUGAAUAUGGGGGGACCAUCCUCCAAGGCUAAAUACUCCUGACUGACCGAUAGUGAACCAGUACCGUGAGGGAAAGGCGAAAAGAACCCCGGCGAGGGGAGUGAAAAAGAACCUGAAACCGUGUACGUACAAGCAGUGGGAGCACCCUUUGGGGUGUGACUG
rnacentral:rRNA from 1 species